UUAACACAUGCAAGUCGAACGGUGAACCAGGAGCUUGCUCUUGGGGAUCAGUGGCGAACGGGUGAGUAACACGUGAGCAACCUGCCCCAGUCUCUGGGAUAAGCGCUGGAAACGGCGUCUAAUACUGGAUAUGAGCUUCCGCCGCAUGGUGGGGGUUGGAAAGAUUUAUCGGUCUGGGAUGGGCUCGCGGCCUAUCAGCUUGUUGGUGAGGUAAUGGCUCACCAAGGCGUCCACGGGUAGCCGGCCUGAGAGGGUGACCGGCCACACUGGGACUGAGA
rnacentral:rRNA from 1 species